ACCUACUCAUCCGUCAGGGUUUAUUACGAACGUUCAACUAAAAUUCUGUGUUUGGCUAUGUCAAAGUUAAUAUUCGAGCAGAAGCAUAGCAGUGGUCGUGCCGGAGUGGUUAUCGGGCAUGACUAGAAAUCAUGUGGGCUUUGCCCGCGCAGGUCUGCUGGCCCGUAAGCUUCUUACAGGACUAACUUGGGCUGAUUCGUUGCCAUUGUGAGACUGCUGGGAUGUAAGCUUCUUUCCCGAUAAAUGAUCUUACAUGGGCUAAUAGCCUCGGGCUGUAGCUGAUGAGAUCUUUAUUCAAAUCUUCUAAAUAAUUUGGUCCUUUUCUUUGUCA